rnacentral:lncRNA from 1 species
AAAAUCAACCAAAUGUUUAAGAGUUUAACAAUACAAAGAUUAGCCACUCUCUCAGGCCUGAUCAUUCACAAGAUUCAUAAACUCCAUUACUAAAGAUCACAGAAACCUUACAAAACGAUAGAUAAAAUUUUCAAACUCAAGGACGCAGAGAAGAGAGAAGGAGAAAAUUUUGGAAGAGAACCAAAAGUCUCGUGUCUUUUGCCAUAGAAAAGGACAGUCCAUCUCCUAAGAUUUAAUCUUAGCCUUUGAUUGAAUCUAAUGGUCCAAAAUGAGUCUCAACUAGCACGGUCCAAGUGAGUAUCAAGUGUCCAAUAAUGGAGUGCCAAGCAGAAAAAUCUAAGUAAGCAGGAAAGUCAAUUGACAGAAAUAUCACUCUUUUACAGUGUUUUGAGAAACACCACUUUUCACAUUCUUCAACUUGAUUCUCAACAACACUCACUCUCUGUUUGCUGAAAAUGCCAUGGAACAGUUGUCCAUCAUCAUUGCCCUAUGACCUGCAAAAGAAAA